rnacentral:misc_RNA from 1 species
AGAAUCUCACCACAAACAGGGCAACAAGUAAUAAGAGGCUCUCUGCAAGUACCAGAAACAAACAUAAAGUGUACUAAGAUAUAUGCUAGGAUUGUGUAUCAUACUCUAAUUAUAAGUUUAAGGACAAUAAGAAUGUGUGUUUCUUACAUGCCCUAUGACAAGUGCUUGAAGAAACAAAGCGAAACAAAAACAGAAGAAGGAAUGCUAGCCUGAUAUGAAUAACAAAAGCCUUCAUUAAACAUAUUCAAUGGGUAGGCCAAGUAUAUUCAAUCAGUAUCGUGGUAAAAAACACAAUGAAAACUUCUGUCAUGCUAAGCCAUAUCGCAAACAAGUGUUGUUAAUAGAGCUCUAGGAACAGCAUACUGGAAAGAGAUUGAUCACCAUGUAACGUGAAAAUGGGCUUUUGGGUUGGUAAUCAAACAGUGGCAGAUAUGGAAAGAGUUAAAUACAACUUCUACAUGCUGUCAGGUGACCCACAAAUCAAAAACUCAACUGACUAAGUGUGAAUUUCACAUUGUACAAUUUUAUAAAGGUUAUACCAAGGAAUGCAUGACUCAUUAAAAACUUGAAGAUUAAACAAUAAAAAGAAAAAAGGGAUCCUUUUGGGAAGCGGAAAAGAAACGCUUUACAACACUCUUACCCGCCACUCCCAGGGUAAGAAGAGAAAGAAACAUGAUUUAUAUAUGGUCAUCUUGUAAAGGAAACACAUAAAUUCAUGUAGGUAGCAGAUAUUGAUGUAUGAUAUUCAUAAUUCAAGCUUACAGCCUCUGAAUUUAAAAGGUUGUUACUUUUCUUGUUGAAUAGCAAGAAGGUCAGCUAACUCAUCCAUGCUCACAACACCAUCCCCAUUCUUGUCA